rnacentral:tRNA from 1 species
AGUUAAUGAACUUGUUAAGUAUUUGUUUUGAAAGCAAAAAAAAAGGAUCUCCUUAUUAACUU